rnacentral:misc_RNA from 1 species
CUCAUUCUUUGCACAUACCCCCCUUUCCUUCCCUCCCCCUCCGUGGUUUGUGUGUGUGUGUGUGUGCUUGCGUGCGGCUGAGUGGCGUAGUUGUGUGUGAGCGUCUUCGGCGGUCUUUCAGCAACAGCACGUCAUCGCCGUCUGUCUUCUCCGCAGCCAAACACACGCUUGGGAAUCCCGCCGUUUUACCACACCCGCCCGCUCCCUCCCUCCUCCGCUGUACCUCCCCCAUCCUUCGUGUUUUCCCACACAUCAAGGAUUUUACGAGGCGUACGUACACACGCGCAAAACAAACAAGCAAAAAAAAACAUCGGCCCCGUCUUCCCUGUGUGUGUGUGUGCACGUCCUCUACGACGAUCACCACCAACACCCCUCUCCACUCGCCUUCAUUCAGUCUCUCUCUCUCCUGCCCGCACCCCCUACCACCUCCUCAUCUCCCUCAUACCUCAUUCCGACGUGCACGCCGUCACUUGUGGAUUUGGGCUUCGCCCCCCCCCCCCCCGUCUGUCUGUCUCUCCUCCUCCUUUUACGCGCCCCGGGCCUUUUGUAGCGUAUCCGCCUUGUCUGCUCGAGGCCCUGCCGAGAUACGCACGCGCAUCGUUUUGCACACUGCGCCUUUGGAUUGCUUUCCCCACACCUCGUUUAUAUAUAUAGUUAUAUACAGCUAUUAUAGUGUAUUAUAUAUAUAUAUAUAUAUAUCGUCUCUCUCUAUAUCCCCCCCUCAUCUGCCCUUUUUCUCGUUUGUCGUGUCGUGUCUCUGAGUGCGUGUGUGUGCUCAUCCUUUUUUUUUUUUCGUGUCUUCGUUGCGCUUGUGGUGGGCUCGCCCAUCUCUGUGUUUGCCGUCUCUCGCCUCUCCUUCCGGUGUGGGCUGGACCUUCCUUUCACCUUGUCGUCCUCGCCUUCGCCACUCAUCUCAUAGUAGCGCGCUCUCUGAGUGCCUAUCGGUGUAGACCUGUGCUGGUGUGCAGUGCGUGCAGCGACGCUGCCCCCUUCCCCUCCCUCUCUCUGCCGCCUCUGCGGACAGCGGGGUGUGCUUUUGCCGAUUCAAUUCCGAGACAGACGGUAGAAAGUACACGUAAAAGGGGGAGGGCGAAAGGGGAGAGCGCGCGCACGUGCCAAACAGACGAGGCGGCAGCAGCGACAAGCCCAAACACCGCAGAAGGGGAGGGGGAAAGUGCCCGCCCGCCCGCCAGAGCGCGCGUGAAAAAAAGAGGGGAGGAAGAGGAGGAGGAGGGAGGGGGCGGAGUUGCGCGACGCGCCGUACGAGGUUACGAGCAAGAUUUUCUCGCUCUUUGCCCUUUCAGCUUUUGUGUUGUUUCCUUGGCUGCGGUAGAUCUCUGCGCUGACUCUGUGUAGCCACUUCUCCCUCUAUAUAGCUGCAGCUAUAGAUAUCUAUCUAUCUAUAUAUAUAUAUAUCUUGAUUUGUAUAUCUGUCUCUUUCGCAUUGCCAUCCUCCGUCUGCGUCGCUCUCUCUCACUUUUCUGUGCAUACCUUUUCCAUUCUCGCCCUUCCUUUUUCCUUCUUAGGCCUUUGUUCUUUGCGUUUGUUUGCUCUCCCCCGUUUCUCCUGUGGCCCUUUUCCGUGGUUUGUGCCGUGCCGCACUUUAUAUAGCUGCGCUUCGCUUUCCUCUGGGUGCCUUCGCCGCCACCCCCCUACUCUCUCCCCCAUCUCUUUUAUUUUUUUUUCCCCUCUGUCUGCACCUCUCGCGUCUUUCUCUCUUCGUAUAAUCUUAUUUUCUUCUUAUGUGUCGUACGUUGGACAGAUUUUUCUGCUCCCUCUUCUCUCUUCCACCUUUUUCCCUACCUCAUCAUCCCCAGCAUUGUAUCCUCUCAUCUUUAUUCUUCAAACCGCUACGUGUGUGUGUGCGUGUGUGUGACUGUCCAAAAAACUUUGGUCACUCUCACAGACAGUCAGGGCCCCAAGUAGCUCAAAGCAAGCUACGACGUGGUGCACGCUUCACGGCGCCUGUUGCAAACACAGAAAAAAAGAACAACUCCAAAAGGGAAGCAAAUCACCACGCUGGAGCCCGUAUGCGGCUGGCGAGUCAACGCAACUGAAACAAGCGAAAGCCACCUUGGAGUAGCUCAGGCGCGCACAACCAUGUCCUUCCGCCGCCCGCCCCCAGUGAGGCGGUCGUGCACGUAUGUCGAGUUCGCGCAGGCCGGAGAGGAUGUUACUCCGGAGCGCAACUUCACCGUUCCUGAUGUGAUGGAUAGUGACAGCGUGACAGUCGACACUGGGGGACCCACUGCUUCGCCAAACGCCCCCGCUCGCGUGCGCUCACCGGAGCAUCCCCGGCGGCGCAGCACCGUACGCAUUGACGGCGCGACUCUGCCGCAGCAGGGAGCUUCCCCCUCCACGUCGUUGCAGCAACUCUGCCGCCCCUCCGUGAGUGAGUGUCGCCGGCGCGGCUCGCUGUCGGCGAGUGGCACACAUGCAUCUCUUCGCCGUUUCUCCCGGCCGAACACGGUGGAGGUGUCGAAGGACUAUCUGCAGUCCGUAGCGGAGGCGCACGGCGUCACUGUAGAGCAUGUGCGCGACGUUAUGAUUGCCGCUCAGGGCGACACCGACCUCAUGCUGGCAAUUCUCCAGAGCGAAAUGGAUGUGCAGCUUGCCUCGCCGGCGAACAUCGACGUGCUGCACUUCGGAACGCAAGAGACAGUACGCCGACUGCUUCUCUUCCUCGAGCUGCCGCGGGAGUGGGAGGGCGAGGUGGUGCGGACGCUGAACGUCACCAACGGCGACGCACAGGAGGCGGCCGCCAUCCUCGCACAGAAAUCUGGCCAGAGGUCCGUCUCGCUGCCGAACGAUGUCACAGCGUCUCGCCAGCAGGUGCUCACAGCCACAGAGGCUGAGGAGCUGCCGCUGCUGCUGCAGCGUCUAGGUCAAAGCCCCAAUGGUGAGACGCGCCAGUUGCAGGCCGAGUUCCCGGACCGCACUACGGAUGAAAUCCGCACGGCGUUGCAGCUGACAGACGGCAACAUGGAGAACGCACGCGUCUUCUUGCGAGAGGAUCACACAGCGUCAAAGAACAGCAACAGGGACGCCAUAAGCAACAUCUUUGCUCGCGCCGCUGCGACACGUGGGUCACGGCCGCGGCCGGACCACCGCAAGGAGAUUGAAGCUGUAUACCACAAGCUCAACGGCGCCGUCGGCAUCAGCAACAGCGCGGCCGAGGUCAUCGACGUCGCCACCGGCGAGGACGUCGUGAAGACGAGUCUGUCGCCGCAGGAUUUUCAACUCUACCGCAGCAGCGGCGGCGGCGGCGGUGGCUGCACGGCUGCUGAGGGCGCCGAUAGCGCGAGUCGGCAGCAGCCCGUGUCCCGGAGCGGAGGUUCGACCCCAACCGCAUCCACCUUGAACGCUUUUGCCUUUACCAAAACUGCGCCAUCGUUGUUGACACCAGACACGGGCGCAUCGCGUGGAUCGGAUAAGGCGCACGACUUGCGUCGCCCGCACCCACGACCGCUCUCCCCGGCGAUGUCCAUGACGACGCCGCCCUUCUCCGACCGCGGUACGAGUGGGACACGUCAUCCAUCGAACGCGACUCGCUUGAACGUUAUGCGGGCCUCCUCGCACGAGUUGCCGUCUGCGGCAGCCGUCGCCGACACGAUUCAACAUGCAGCACUGCCCGCAAAGCGGUCGCGUCGACCAUCCCUGUCGCGAGAGGCGAAGAAUGUGUCGACGCGCCUCGCAGGCCGCCUUGAUCUGCCGUCGCUGCAUGUAGUGCGAACCGGCGGCGGCGCUGCCGAAACUGGCAGUUCGGCCGCCGCCCUCAACGACUCUACCAGCACUUCCGCCGCCGACAGCAGUGUCAGCGGGCACUCCAGUAGACGCUCGCCGCCAUCGCCGCACUCUGCGAGGGUGAUCGCUCCUCGCCGUUCGAGCGUUGCAGCGGUGAACCUGAAUGACUAUCGCGGCUCAGGCGCCGCUGCAGAGGCGAGGAGGGCAGACCACGCGUGGAACAGCGCAGUCGGUAGUGCGGCAGGCAGUAGCGGCACGUACUUUGCAUCCGUAGCGCCUGGGUCGGCUCUCAUCGCGUCGCAGCAGCUUACUGGCCAGCCGUUCCACUCGCCGCAUACGGAGAGCCUGCUUAACAGUGUCCUUAGUCAGCUUGGCAAGAACACAGAGAGCCAUCAGGACAAGGAGCAGCAGCGGCGACAACACCAGCUGUCCUCGGAGCUUGUAGACACGACUUCUCUUCGGCCAUUUUGGCCGGCCAGCAGCGCUGAUAACAACAGCACAUCCGUGCCCGCCAGCGGCGUCUCGUCGCCAACGCCAACGGCGCCGCCACCGCCACCACCACCCGCGAGCUCUGCCACAGCGCCGACUGCGGCGGGCCCUGCUCCUCCUCCCGGCUUGCCUCCACCUCCGCCACCGCCAGGGUACAAAGCAGGUGGCCCCGCUAGCUCUGCGCCGCUGCCGCCGCCACCCCCACCACCCGGCGGCAGUGGCGUUCCGAGCCUUCCUGCGGGUUUGCCUCCACCACAUCCGCCUGGCCUCCCUCCUCCGACAGGCGGGCCCAAGCAACCGCCACCGCCGCCACCGCCGCCACCGCCGCCACCGCCGCCACCGCCGCCACCGCCACGGAUGGGUAACGGGCCACCGCCACCACCAGGAAAGGGCGCGAGCGGCGCAGCAGCCCCGGUGCCAAACAGCAGCACAACGCGCAACGUGCCGAUCAACGGCGCCGUCGGUGACUCCGAUGACGCCAUCUUCAAGGCUGCGCGGCCAAUCGAGCUGACAGCCGGGGCGCGUGAUAAGCUGCUUGCCCUCUUCCCAAAGGCGGCGCCAAAGCACGCGAUAGAGGAGGACGAGGCGACGUCGCGCGUGCAGCGCAUUCUCGAUGUGAACCGUGAUCGAAACGUCGGCAUUGUGCUGAAGUUCAUUCGGCUGCCCAUUCAGCAGAUCGAGGCGAGUGUGCGCACAUUCGACACCCUGACGCUCGGCGAGGAGCGCAUCUCCGGCCUUCUCAAGAUCAUUCCCACUUCGGACGACUUCGAGGCCAUUGCGCGGGCACAGAAGGAGCACGGCGGCCCGUGGAAGCGUGCAGAGGAACAGCAGCUGCCGCAAGCCGUCCGCUUCUUCCUCAUGACCCAGCGCAUCGACCACUACGCCGAGCGCAUCCAUGCCUGGAGUCUGCGGUACGAGCUGCAUGGGCGGCUCGAGUACCUGGAACAGAAGCUGAGCAAGGCGGAUAAGGCGAUUGACGCCACCUUCGCCUCCCCGUCGCUGCCGGACCUGCUGUACUUCCUUCUCGAGGUGAGCAAUUUCCUGAACGCUGGCAGCCGCUUCCAGGGUGCCAAGGGGUUCCCCAUCACGCAGUUGCCGCAAAUCAUGGACUUUAGGACAACAGACGGCAAAGGCACCUUACUGCAGUACGUGGCUGAAAUAUUGGACACAGUGAACCCGCACCUGCAGGCGAUUUCGAGCGAACUGAUGCCGGCCGUCGACGAGGGUCGUGACAUUGACGUUGCCAGCAUUGAGCAGGAACUCAAGAAGCUGCGGGGCCGCCUGCAGAAGUGCAAGCAUCUGAUUGAGCAGCUGAAGAACGAUGUGCGCUGGACGAACGUGCUCGGCAAGUUCAUUUACCGCUCGCUACCGGAGCUGGAGCGCGUCGAGAAGCUGGCGGAGUCGAUCAACGGUAAGGCGGAGCGCCUGCAGGAGUUCCUGUGCGAGAAGAAAGAGACUUUUUCGCUGAAUGAGGUGCUGCGGGUUUUGUCCAACUUCUGCAAAAGGUACGAGCAGGAGCGUGAGAAGCAACGACUACGGCAGGAGCGUCAGGACCGCAUGGAGGAUAACAAGCAGCGGCGGCAGAGCACAGUGUCCAGCACUGUGGCGAGCCACGGUGACUUGCCGUCGCAGACGCAGCCCGAGUCAUCAUCACAGCAACGGCGGUUCAGCCAGCAGCCGUUGCAGCAGUCCCCGCAGAGGCAGUCCCCAUCCCUGCAGGCGAGCUCGAACGGCGCGGACUGUGUUAGGGCCACUCCUGACGCUGAGUUCAGCACCAGCCGCCUCCGCGGCGGUGCGAGCCUACGGGCUUCUGGGAUUGCCCCCGCUAGCCGUUCCGAUGGCAGCCUCGGCACCGCCGAGCACGGGAGAUCGAACCCGCCACACAGCAAUGGAAUUGGUGCCGCAAACGGAACUGAGGACCGUACAUCACCACCGGUGGACCGAACUAGCAGCGGCAGCACCCCCGCCAACAGCAACACGGGUGGCGGCUAUCGCCGACGUUUCAGCAACGGCGAAGUGAAGCAACCCGGUGCCAGCACUACCGUCGUUUCAGCUCGUGGACCUCCACCGAGCUCGAGUGCCCGUGCCGGCACGGGCACGGUCGGAGGAGAAGUAUUGCCGCCUGUAGGCAAGUCUCCGGUAGCCCUAUCUGCGCGCGCCUCAAACAGCGGGCGCACCCACGUUGAGAGCGCCCGACGAGAUGCUCGACAAACAUAAGGAGAGAGGCGGAGGGACGGGGGAAUAGGGAGGGCGGUGAUUAUGGAGCUGUCUUCUUAAGCUCUGCAGCUCUUUUGCCUUCUGAUGCAUGUCGCUCUCUUGUGCAUCGGGUGACUCUGCUAUCUGCAUUGAUGGCGCAUGCGUGUUGCAUGCGUGUCUGAGGGAAUAGUGGGAUAGGUAGAUGGAGACACACCGGCGCCAAGAGCGGGAGAGCAAGCCUGACGGGAAGGCUGGCGCGAAACGUUGUUCCUCAUGCGGCACACCCCCUUCCCUUCUCCGCCUUCUCUCUUCUGUGCUGUUCUCGUCUCUGUGCGCUAUGUGUCUGCGUUGCAGUCGCUGACCCCAGCCUCACGUUUUCCUAUUCCACCAACUCUCCUCUUGUCACCUCUUCCGCUCUUCUCACGGCGUGUGCGUGCGCGUGUACUCCAUUCUCGCCAGCCCCUCCUGCCUCCCGGCCACCACCUCCUCCUCUGCCCUUUUCAUAGUUCAAGUUUGUUUCGCUCGCACAUACCCCUCCCUCCCUUUCCCUGCCUCUCCGCUUCAUCGAAUUCCCUUGUCUUCUCUUUUUCCGAGCAUUCCGGCCCCUGUCCCUUACUCCUUUCACGAGGGAGGGGGAGGAGGAGGGCAGAAGACCUCAUCGUUCACGGGAUCUCUGUCCUUUUCCACCGGUGUGCCUUUUCUGUGGUUCGUAGUAUUGCUUUGUCUUGUCAGUUGGUGUCCCGCUUGUGCGCGUGCACUCGCCCUUGUGGAGGCGGUGAUGGUGGUACACAUAUAUGCAUAUAUAUGUAUAGGUGCGCAUAUGUAUGCGUAUAUAUGCAUGUAUACGUGUGUGUGUAUAAUGCGCAAUGCAUAUAGUGGGCACGUACAAUACAUAUAUACACAGCGGCACAUUGACACCGUCAUUGAUGCACACGUAUACAGACACAUGUAUAUGUAUACGCAUAUACGUGUGCGCUUUGUUUUCGUUCUUUUUGUAUUGCCCCCACCCCCUCCCUCUCCCUCUCCCCUUUGUUCUCCUCUCUCCCGCUGCCCUCUGCCCUCCUCGUCCUCUUUCGCGCUGCCGCGCGUCACUCUUGUGUCUCUCCCUUGCGAUGAGGACAGACGACGACAACAGCAGGCCGCAACAGGGGGGGGGAUGAGCAACACAUGAACCAUGUUUUCUUCGUUUGCGUGACGAGUGGGCGACGAUGACGUCCAUCGAAAAGACACGCACACAAACACGCAACUAAACAUGGAAACACGGAAGGAAGCACACCAGAAGAUUGGGUAUCGCCCUUGACAAUACCAGCCCUAAGCGUCCAGAAAUGGAGGCGACAGAAAGUGCACGUGGAUGCGCUUUUUCUUUUUUUUUUUUGCGUGGGAGGUGAUGUGAGAUGGUGUAUGGGCGCAAGUAUGUUCCCAUAACAGCCUGCCACGGCAUCGGAGCCGACGUGCGUGGCUUGAUGAAUGCGCAGCGAAGGGGGCAAGAGGCGGAGGACGCGACUAAGUCUUCUGCUCUUUCGAACCCCCUUUUUUUGGUGAGUUACGUUACUCUGGCCCCAGGCAGAUCUG